rnacentral:lncRNA from 1 species
GGUAUAAAUUGACCCAAAGAGACCUUAUAAAGAAGACAAAGAGGUUUAUUAGUGGUAUUUUAUCUUCCUAAAAUCAUCUUGUGUAUCAUUUUCAACUGUUUGUAGGCAGAUAAGAUAGAUAUUUGAUCAUUUAUUGGUCCACACUCUAUUCUAUCUUGAUGCGGCUUGGUUUGGAUUUGUCGAAGAAAUUUUGCUCGAAUCGCUGUAGAUGUCGUCUUUCAAUAUACUAGAUUUUUCUCAAACUAUUGAACUGAUUAUGACAAAACUUGACAGAA